UCCGGAUCCCAGCCUCGACCGUGGAUCCAACUUCCUCUGAGGGACGGAGCGGCCAGCUGCGAAAGCUCAGCCUAGCUUUGGCAUCCCGGCUCCGCCGUAGCCAGCGCGGCCCAGCACCCUGCAGAACCCAAGGAGAAUAUGAACUUGUCAAUGUUUAUGAAGCACAAAGAAUCAUCAAGGACAUCACACAGCACUCGGAGGAGACGCCCUGGGCUCAGGCCUUAAGUGGCCCAGGACUCCUGCCACCAGACUGUUGCGACACACGUCUGCAUAUGUGAGGGCAACACCAGAAGAGCCAGGCUGGAGAUCCAGUACCUCACCUCAACCCUGCUGCGCUAGAAUGCUGUCAUACUUGACAGUGGGAGUUUUAGGAGGCAAGGUCCGGUCUUCUAGUCUUCUGCCAGUCAGAUGCUGAGACCCAGUGUGUUUGAAAUCAGGUUGUGAAACUUUCCAAGUGUGUUCUUCUCUUUCAGGAGCAGUUGAACAUUCUCAGUCCUUUGAUCUGCUAUACAAAUAUCAGAUCAGAUCUCAAAUUUCCCAACCCCUGGUGGGAUGAUUCCUACUGAGACAUUUUUCAGAGCAUAGAUCAUCCUGACGAGGUUUAUGUCUAAAGACUCCUAAAUGUUUUAACCCAUUUACUUGCUAUCUAUUUAUGUAGACGUCCUUUCAUUUCUCUCAAAAUAUUUUGCAGUUUUUAUUGUGCAAGAAUUAUAUUCUCCAUCUUGGGGCUAAGGAUUUAGCUGAGCGGCAUAAGCACCUGCCUUGCAAGCAGGCGGUCGUGAGUUCGAUCCCCGGUACCGAUAAAAAGGAAAAAAGACAAAAAAAAAUAUAAAAAAAUAAAAAAUAAAAAUAAAAGAAUUAUAUUCUCCAUCUUAAAUUAUUCCUAAAUAUCUUAGUUUUAGAAGCAAUUAAAUUGUUUUACAUUACAGUUUCCAAUCAUUUACUGAUUGUACAUAAAAGUAAGUUAAUUUCUAUAUUACUCCACUAUCCUACAACCUUGGCAAACCUCACGCUAGCUCCAAUAGUUGUUCUACAGAUUAUUUCAGAUGUUCUAUUAAUCAACGGUGUCAUCAGGGAAUAGAAUUUUAAGUCCCCCUUUCCUCAGUGUAUGCUUCUUUCUUUCACUUCCUUCACUGCAUUUAGACUAAGCAGUAAAAUGUUGAAUUAAUGUGAUGAGAAUGGUGAAGCUCACUUUGUUCCUAAUGGUAGAAGGCAUAAUUGUUGAUACAUUGUGUCAAUUUGAUCCUGUUGAGGCCAGGAUCCUCACUUUGUAAACAUCCUUAUCCUGUGCAAGAGGUGGGCACUAAGAUGGUGUGAGUGUUACACUCAUCCUAGGAGGUAACAGCCUGUUUACAAAGUAAGGGAGAAAAAGAGGCUUGCUCUACAUCUUCUGCUCCUGUUAGUUUUGCAGUCUUAUGCAAAUUUGAACAUGACCCCUGUGUCAUGUCACCCUGCCUUGGAGCCAGCUGAUUAUGAACUGAAACCUCCACAAAUUGUAAGUUAAAUAAACCUUUCCUUCCUUAAUUUUGGGGGCUGGGUAUAUUGCCCCAGCAAUGAAAAAAAAGUAACCAAGACGGAAUUUGGUACCAGAGAAAGUGGGGUCAUUGCUGUAACUUUACCUGACCAUGUGGUUCAAGCAUCUUUGGGAAUGGUUUGUGGGAAGAGUUUGGAAAGAUUCAGAGAUGUUGCCUGAAAAAGUAGAGCUCAGGCUGUACCGUGUGUGAGCUCCUGGUCAAAGACCAGAAGACCAGAAGGCUGAUAGAAAUCCUGUCAUUAAAGUUCACGCUCAGGAGGUUUCUGCUGGGAAGAAGAACUGCAAUGGGUGUUGAACUCCAGAGGAUAUGUGUUAUGGCUUGGCAAAAGUUGAUCUGUAUUUUGCUUAUGUCCAGAGACGUUGCCUGAAACUAAGAUUAAUGGCAGUCGACUAAUUAACUGCUCAAAGAAAUCUCAAGGCAGUCGAAUGUUGGGGCAGUGGCAUGGCUGUUGUUGGGGGCUUUUUAGCCAGAUUUAUGUUGAAAAUCAAGAGCAAAAUAUGCAGCAGGAUGAUUCAAAUGUUGUGAGUUAGAAAGGAUGCUCCAGUAAAGUUGUGAACUGCAAAUAUACAGCUGGGGAGAUCUUGAUUGCUGAGAAGGAACAGGAAAAUAUAAAAGACGGCCUGAGGGCAUCACAAGAAGCUGGUGUCUCCACCCUUUGUAGUCUCAUAACUGCAAAAGUGAAAGACUUUGCUCUGAGAGGAAAGCUGCAGAGUGCCAGGUUCCAGAAUGGUGGCAGCACAGAAAAUGUGUUCCUCACAAUUCAAUUCAGAGUGCCCAGCAAUCCAGGCACUCAACCCCUGUAGCCAAGAGAGAGAAAAGCCAGGCUAUUGCUCCAUCUGGCAGCAGACCUUGGAAUUAUCCACAUGGUGCUGGUUUUAGGUGCAUGCAGAAUGCAAGAGUGGAGGGGAUAAAAAGGCUUUGACCUCAAUUUCAGAAGGCCUGGGAGGCCAGGCACUGAGCCCCCGAGAAAGCAGUGUGUGAAGCUGUGAGUGGGAGCCUAAAGAUGAAGUGGAGACUCCAGAAGUUUGGAAAAUCCAGGAACAUGGAUCAUCUAAGAAAAGCCACAUGGAGAAAGCAAAGCAGGCUUAAGAGAGAAACCGGGAACUGUAACCACCAGAAGUGCAACAGGGGUGGAGUAACUCAAACUCUUUGGAGCACACAGUUUGUCACAGAUUUCUUCAGAUGCUAGAUGUGAAAUUACAUAAUGUUUGCCCUGCUGGAUUUUGGACUUUCUUUAGUCCCAAUCUUUUGUAUUACCCUGUUUGUAACUUUUGGAAUGAAAAUGUUUAACUUGUGCCAUUAAAUGUUGGGAAUAUUUAACUUUGUUUUCAUUGGUAUAGGGGCUUGCAGCUAAGAAUUAAUUUCACAUCUUGGAGGAGAUUUGGGACUUGGACUUUUCAGUAAUACUGAAACUGUUAGGACUGUGGCAACUUUUGCAGAUAUACUAAGUAUUUUUGCAUAAAAGGAUACAUUUGAGUCUUUGGGGGGCCAGGGGUGAAAUGCUGUGUGUGGUUCCAAUGUAAUAUAAUGUUGAUAGACUCAAUACUGGUUCUUAAGGACUGUUAAACUUGUGUUAUAAGGUUCAAAUUGUGACAUGAUAAUAAGCAUGCCUUUGUAUCUGGAGACUUGUUUAAAGAAAUGUGUCUGAUUGCUGAGUUCACAAUAGGUGAGCUGUAAUGGUUGAUCCAUGGUGUCAAUUUGAGAAGUUUAGAAGUUCAGUGAAGUGGUUCAGCAGGGAGCCAGGGUCCUCACUUUGUAAACAUCCUCAUCCUGUACAAGAAGAAGUCACCAAGAUGGUGUGAGUGCUACACCCGCGCCCUUGAGGGUGGAAGUCUGCUUACAGUAUGAGGGAGGAAAAGAAGCUUACACCCCCUCCUUUGCUCUUGUUGCUUUGCUUCUUCUGCUGCCUUGAACUGUGUCCCUGUGUCAUGCCACACUGUGUCGGAGACAGCUGAUUAUGGACUGAAACCUCCAUAUACUGUGAGCUAAAUAAACCUUUCCCUCUUCAA